CAUCAGCAAAUGAAAUCACUCGUGUUAGGGGCUGAACUGACUGACUGACCGAUUCUCAAACAAAUAUGGCGGAAACCUCUUCGUCUCCGGCUGCUCCACCCAAACCUGUUGUCGUUAGGGUCAAACGAAAACCCUCUCAAUCUCCUCUCGAUGCUCUCUGGUUGGAAAUCAAUGAUAGGCCAUUGAAGCGCUCUCUCUUGGAUUUUGGAAACCUUUCACUUUCUCAUUCUUCUCCAAACGGUAUGUUAAAGAUUCAAUACCUUAAGCCUAUGCUUCGAUUUAGGGUUUUGGAGGAGGAGAGUAUUUUGGACUUUAUUUAUUUUAGAUUUAAUGCUUAUAUGUUAUUGCAAUGUCUUUGAAGGGCUGCCAAUGUUAUGGAUGGAAGUUUAGAUCUUCCUCUCCAUCCUAAGGUUAACAAAGUAAAGACUAUAUCUGAACUUUUGGACAUUGCAGCUUCAGGGAGUAAUAUGAAUGCUGUCUACCAUUGUGCUGCAACUGUCGAUGACAUUUUAGUGAAAAAUGGAUGGUAUUAUGUUUCAUGUCCAGAUUGUAGAAAAACUGUUUCUCCCACUGAAACAAAUUUUAGGUGUGACCAUUGCAAAGUUGAUAUAGAAUAUCCAAAGACUAGGUACUUUUCCAAAGACUAGGUACUUUUUUGAACCUAUAGUACUUGAAAAAUAUAAUCAUGUUAUUGGUAUAUGUAUUAUAGGUUCCGUUUAGAGCUUCAGGUGAAAGACCGUACCGAUAC